GCCGCUGUGGCUUAGCUGGCUAGAGCGAUUCCUUGGUAAGGAAUAGGUCGGGGGUUCAAAUCCCCCCAGCGGCU
rnacentral:tRNA from 1 species